AGCGAACGCUGGCGGCGUGCUUAACACAUGCAAGUCGCGCGGGAAAGAGACUUUCGGUCUUGAGUAGAGCGGCGGACGGGUGCGUAAGACGCGGGUGACCUAUCCGAGAGGCGGGAUAACCCAGCGAAAGCGGGGCUAAUACCGGAUGAGCCCCCAGGCGGAAACGCGCGGGGGCAAAGGAUGCUACUCGAUAGUGGCGAUGUCCUCACGGAGGGGCCCACGGCCUAUCAGCAGUUGGUGUGGUAACGGCGCACCAA
rnacentral:rRNA from 1 species